rnacentral:lncRNA from 1 species
AUCUAUCAGUCUAUAUAUCACUUCUUUUUAACAAUUUUUCUUUACCCUCAAAGUGUGAUUCUUUGAUACUACUACACUAGUAUUCCACGAACACACACGACAGACAAAUUGAUUGUUUGUAAUUUUGUCAUCGUAUAGUGUGGUUUGUGGAUUCAGGACAGGAUUUGGUUCAUGAGUUGGAGGGUGUGGUUGUAGAUGUUGUAAACUUCUGUAAAACAAUAACCCACUGUUUGUUUGUAUAAGCUAUAUUGGUUUUGGAGCAUAUAUAUUGUAGUUUACUGAUAUUAUCUCCUUUCUUU